rnacentral:rRNA from 1 species
UACGAAGGGUGCAAGCGUUGUUCGGAAUUACUGGGCGUAAAGGGCGUGUAGGCGGCUCGAUUAGUUAGAUGUGAAAGCCCAGGGCUCAACCUUGGAACUGCAUUUAAUACUGUCGAGCUAGAAUCCAGGAGGGGACAGUGGAAUUCCGAGUGUAGAGGUGAAAUUCGUAGAUAUUCGGAAGAACACCAGUGGCGAAGGCGACUGUCUGGACUGGUAUUGACGCUGAGGCGCGAAAGCGUGGGGAGCAAACAGG